rfam:Schistosoma mansoni strain Puerto Rico chromosome 1, complete genome
AUCCAGUUGACGAGUCCCAAAUAGGACGAAACGCCAUCCUGGAU